rnacentral:snRNA from 1 species
AUACUUACCUAACAGGGGAGAUACUGUGAUCACAAGGGUGGUUUUCCCAUGGCGAGGCUUAUCCAUUGCAAUCCGAAUGUGCUGGCCCCUGCGAUUUCUCCAAAUGUGGGAUGGUGUGGGACUGAGUUUCUGCUC